AAUACCACAGUAACAGUAAGUGAAGACACCAGACCUGGAUCUGAUUCUGGGAACAGCUUGAAGACCUCUGCCUGAUGACCUGAGAGGCCUGAUAAUCAAUGAUCAAUGACACAGAUCAAUCUGAAUGGAGGGAACUUCUGCAAUCUCCGGUGUCUUCGUGGACUCCUCGUCUGACAAUUUCUUCUGUACUGAGGCCGCUGUGAGGUCUCACGCAGUCAGCAAGUAAAUUACUUUACUUUCAAUUUCAUAAAUAGGACCUAUACGUUUAAUUGAAUAAGAGAUAGAAUGAACUGGCAAACCAAGAAAACCCCCACACCUGCAGAAGUGACUCAGAUGUUAGUAAAGUAACUCGUAGUUUGACCAUGAAGUGACCAAAACAUUAUUACCACAGAAUCUGAAAUUCAAAAGGCAGCUGGUGAAGAACGGACUGUUUGUGUUCUCCUGGAAUUAUUUAGAUAAAGUCAGUCAAUAUAGAAUCUGUGUUUUUUUUUUUUUUUUUUUAAAUAACUACAUUUUGUUCAUGAUCUUCAGCUAAAGGAA